rnacentral:rRNA from 1 species
UCCGUAGGUGAACCUGCGGAAGGAUCAUUAAUGAAUGAAGUCGAGUGAGGUUGUAUCUGGCCUUUUACCGGGCAUGUGCACACCUCAUUCAACCACCUUCUAUACCUCUGUGCACUUCUCAUGAGUUGGGCCGCGUCUGAAAUACGACAAAGUCCGGCUCAUGUGCUUUAACAAACAAAUUAUGUUAUAGAAUGUCACUACCAUGCUUUAAAGCAUAUAAUACAACUUUCAACAACGGAUCUCUUGGCUCUCGCAUCGAUGAAGAACGCAGCGAAAUGCGAUAAGUAAUGUGAAUUGCAGAAUUGAAGUAUACAGUGAAUCAUCGAAUCUUUGAACGCACCUUGCGCUCCUUGGUAUUCCGAGGAGCAUGCCUGUUUGAGUGUCAUGGUAUUCUCAACCCUGCUACAUUUUUUUGUAGUUGGGCUUGGACUUGGAGGUUUAUUGCUGGUGUUCUUUUUUGAACAUUGGCUCCUCUGAAAUGCAUUAGCUGGAAUGUUACCGAGCAUGAUUCAAUGUGAUAAUUGUCUACGUUGCUUCAUCUUUGUAUUAAUUCUGUUUCAGCUUCUAAUCCUCCUUUACAGACAAUAUCUUGAACAUCUGACCUCAAAUCAGGUAGGACUACCCGCUGAACUUAAGCAUAUCAAUAAGCGGAGGA